rnacentral:rRNA from 1 species
UACGAAGGGGGCUAGCGUUGCUCGGAAUCACUGGGCGUAAAGGGCGCGUAGGCGGCCAUUCAAGUCGGAGGUGAAAGCCCAGGGCUCAACCCUGGAAUUGCCUUCGAUACUGUUUGGCUAGAGACCGGAAGAGGUAAGUGGAACUGCGAGUGUAGAGGUGAAAUUCGUAGAUAUUCGCAAGAACACCAGUGGCGAAGGCGGCUGACUGGUCCGGUUCUGACGCUGAGGCGCGAAAGCGUGGGGAGCAAACAGG